AAUAACAUCAUUUUUCAGUUUUUUAUACAUUGUUUUAACUUUUCGUCUUAUUUAAAAUUUUUUGUGAUUAAUAUUUUUAUUCUUACUAGACGAUAAAACAUGAAUUGUACUUUAUGCGUGACUAAUUUUUUUAAGUUUUUAUAUAAAUUUUUCAAAUAAGACGAACGGUCAAACGUUGGGUACGGAAAAACGAAAAAUGGAGUUAUU
rnacentral:pre_miRNA from 1 species